UUCACCAAAUGGAUGAGCUGAACGACGAGCUGCUAAAGAAGAUCACAAACAAUAAAAUUCAGCCUCCCCACAGGAAUUUCAAAGUGGAAAAGCCUCGGAAGUUUUUGUGCCCCUCACCUUUGAAUCCAGCACUGAAGAAGUCAAAGCCUGGCUGGAGGCCAAGUCAUUCAGCAAAGAGACCGUGGAACACCUGGGCAUCCUCACCGGAGCUCAGCUCUUCUCCCUCAACAGAGAGGAGCUGAAGAAGGUGUGUGGUGCUGAGGGGAACAGAGUCUACAGCAAGAUCACGGUGGAGAAAAACCAGCUGGAGAAAAGCAGAGGAGAGUCAGAGCUCCAAGAAAUCAUGAAGCGCCGCCAGGAAAGAAUUGAUGCUGCUAAUUAAAGUCCCUCUGCUUGUUCAGCUCUUAGCCCUAAGUAGUGCAGGAAAAAAGGGAACGAAAGCGAUGAUUCCUGGCCCAGGCCGGAGGCAGCAGAGCUCCCCUUGGGCUCCAGCUGCCCUCAGAGUGACAAUUCCUUCAACACUGUUGGGAAGGGUUGACAAUAAGACCACGUCCCACUGGGAAAGGUGUUUUAAUUUCGCAUGAAGCAUUUUUUUUUUUUAUAACUAUCUAUUUUAUACUGACAUUUUCCGUGCAUGCGAUCGGAGCAGCAUUCCCACGGGGCUCGACGGACCACAGGGGCUGGAAUCAAGCACACAAAGACCCCCAGAGCUUUUCUCCAGGGCUGUCCCUGCUCCCAGCCCCUCGCUGGCAGAGCAGGCCUGGCACAGCUCAGGAGAGGCCAGCCCAAGGCCUGGAGCCUGCACCACGGGAAUGAGGCUUUGGAACCCCGCCGUGUUUGGGUUUAAGGAAGGGACAUUAACGCUCGUCCCAUUCCACCCCUGUCACGGGCAGGGACGCUUUCCACAAGCCCGAGUUGUUCCAAAUCCUGUCCAGCCUGGCCUUGGACGCUCCCAGGGAUGGGGAGUCACGACCCAAGGCAGCCUCAUUUCCAUUUCAUUUCCAUUUCCUCCUCAGUGCAGGUGUCCCCUGCAGCCCAGGAGCACGGGCCGGGUGACAACUCCCUGUCCUCCUCCUGCCCCCCUGUGCCCCCUCACUGGACAAGGCUAGAAUGGCAACACACAUUCCCAAAGUCUGGCUGCUUCCGUAAAUCCACGGGCCAGUUAGUGCUGUCUGAAGAGCUGAGAUGAGCUCUCAGUGCCCAGGAACCAGCAGGGGUGACAAACAAAGGGAUCUGAAUCUGGGAACAGGAGAGUUCCACCCGCCCACCGCUGCUGCUGCAGAGGCCAGGGCUCAGGGCAGCUGUGCAGCCCUUCCCUGGGGCACUGAUCCUGCACUGGAAUGUUGUGGUGUUGCCAAACCCGGCCUCAAACCAGGAGAGGAUAAGCCCUGACCGUUUGCUCCCGACCCAGGCACACCCACGGCCCUUCCCAGGGUGUUGGUCACUCGUCCCCACCUUCACGUUUUCAGUGCAAAAAGUCAGCUGAAAUGAUUCCCAAAGAGCUGAAACCCCAAAGCACACUGGGAAGGGCAGGUUUAACUCCAAAUAAAUGGGCACAAGAAAAAAAAAAUCUAAUUUAGCACAGGAUGUUGCUCUUGACUUCCUGUUUUCCUUCAUAAAGUUAUGUGCAUUUAUAUAUAACAAUCUGUAAAUAAGGGUGAGGAAAAUCUCUCUCCCUAGAGGAAGAAUGCUUCCAAAUUUUAU